rnacentral:rRNA from 1 species
AUGGACGCGGCGGCGGCCACCGGCGACGUGCUCGCCGCGCUGGCGCCCUCCUGGAGCGCGGCGGUGGUGCUGGUCUCCUACCUCGCGUACCUCGCCGCCGCGGGCGCCCUCCUCCCCGGCAAGCUCGUCGCCGGCGCCGUCCUCCCCGACUCCUCCCGCCUCCACUACCGUUGCAAUGGUCUGCUCUCGCUGCUGCUGCUCCUGGGGCUCUCCACGCUCGGCGUCUACAUGGGCUGGAUGACUCCCACGGUCGUGGCUGACCGUGGACUCGAGCUGCUGUCGACGACCCUCAUUUUCAGUGUCAUUGUCAGUUUCCUGCUCUACUAUACUGGGUUAAGGUCCCGCCAUCAAAGUUCUUCAUUGAAACCACAUGCUACUGGGAGCUUCAUAGAAGAUUGGUGGUUCGGAGUGCAGCUUAAUCCCCAUUUUAUGGGAGUUGACCUCAAGUUCUUUUUCAUAAGGGCUGGAAUGAUGGCAUGGUUGUUUAUCAACCUCUCUUUGCUUGCAAAGAGCUACCUAGCUGGUUCAGUUAACCGUGCAGUCAUUCUUUACCAAUUCUUUUGUGGGUGGUAUAUUAUAGAUUACUUCAUUCAUGAAGAAUUCAUGACCUCCACCUUCAUACUUCAUUUUUUUUUCCUUCCCGUGAUUUUCAGAUGGGACAUUAUUGCUGAAAGGUUGGGAUUCAUGCUGGUGUUUGGUGAUCUAGUUUUCAUUCCUUUUACCUUCACUAUUCAGGGUUGGUGGCUUCUGGGAAACAAAGUGGAGCUGCCACUUUUGGCUUCCGUUGCUAACUGCAUAAUUUUCCUUAUUGGCUAUCUAGUGUUCAGAGGUGCCAACAAACAGAAACAUUUGUUCAAGAAGGACCCUAAAGCUCCUAUAUGGGGUAAACCUCCCAAAGUUGUUGGGGGAAAACUACUUGUAUCUGGCUACUGGGGCAUUGCAAGGCACUGCAAUUACCUUGGAGAUCUGCUUCUGGCACUCUCAUUCAGCUUGCCUUGUGGAGCCAGCUCCGUGAUCCCGUACUUCUACCCGACCUACCUGCUGAUCCUGCUGAUAUGGAGGGAGAGAAGAGACGAGGCGAGAUGCUCGGAGAAGUACAAGGACAUCUGGGCAGAGUACUGCAAGCUUGUGCCCUGGAGGAUUCUACCUUACGUGUACUGA